GUGUUAGUUUUUAGACCUACUGUCACUCUUUGGGGAAUUCCGCACGCAUACAGAUAGCAAACGAGGAUCGGCGACUGCAGUUGAAGAGAACACUUUUUCGGCUACAAUUUAUGCCUAUUUUUUGUCAAAUUCCAAGCUUUGAUGAAGGAGAUAUUGGCAGUUGAAGUCAGCACUUGGAAUCUAAGGGUAGUAAGUAGCCCGAUUUACUUGUACUUGUGAUAUGAGCUAUAUCUUAGAAAAUUUGACGAGUUUCUGACUCAAAAUUUCUAGGAUUGUGUAUAAUCUUAUUAUAAAGCUUUCUACAUAAGUUUUGUGGAAUUUGGAGUUUGAAUUUUUGAGAUAUAGGGAAAAUAGUUUUUAGGUGCUUGUAAGUUAGGGUUAUGUACACUUGCUAGGGU
rnacentral:lncRNA from 1 species